GAUAAGAACGCAGCGAAAUGCGAUAAGUAAUGUGAAUUGCAGAAUUCAGUGAAUCAUCGAAUCUUUGAACGCACAUUGCGCCCGCUAGUAUUCUGGCGGGCAUGCCUGUUCGAGCGUCAUUUCAACCAUCAAGCCCUGCUUGUGUUGGGGUCCUGCGGCUGCCCGCAGGCCCUGAAAACCAGUGGCGGGCUCGCUAGUCACACCGAGCGCAGUAGCACAUCUCGCUCAGGGCGUGCGGCGGGUUCUUGCCGUAAAACACCCCCUUUUUACCAAGGUUGACCUCGGAUCAGGUAGGAAUACCCGCUGAACUUAAGCAUAUCAAUAAGCGGAGGA
rnacentral:misc_RNA from 1 species